UCAAUAAACAUUCAACAGACGCCCCUACCUUCCCCCACGCUCACAGAAGAAAGACAAAGAACCGACAGCACAUCCU